rnacentral:rRNA from 1 species
GGUUAAGCGACUAAGCGUACACGGUGGAUGCCCUGGCAGUCAGAGGCGAUGAAGGACGUGCUAAUCUGCGAUAAGCGUCGGUAAGGUGAUAUGAACCGUUAUAACCGGCGAUUUCCGAAUGGGGAAACCCAGUGUGAUUCGUCACACUAUCAUUAACUGAAUCCAUAGGUUAAUGAGGCGAACCGGGGGAACUGAAACAUCUAAGUACCCCGAGGAAAAGAAAUCAACCGAGAUUCCCCCAGUAGCGGCGAGCGAACGGGGAGGAGCCCAGAGCCUGAAUCAGUGUGUGUGUUAGUGGAAGCGUCUGGAAAGGCGCGCGAUACAGGGUGACAGCCCCGUACACAAAAAUGCACAUAUUGUGAGCUCGAUGAGUAGGGCGGGACACGUGGUAUCCUGUCUGAAUAUGGGGGGACCAUCCUCCAAGGCUAAAUACUCCUGACUGACCGAUAGUGAACCAGUACCGUGAGGGAAAGGCGAAAAGAACCCCGGCGAGGGGAGUGAAAAAGAACCUGAAACCGUGUACGUACAAGCAGUGGGAGCACGCUUAGGCGUGUGACUGCGUACCUUUUGUAUAAUGGGUCAGCGACUUAUAUUCUGUAGCAAGGUUAACCGAAUAGGGGAGCCGAAGGGAAACCGAGUCUUAACUGGGCGUUAAGUUGCAGGGUAUAGACCCGAAACCCGGUGAUCUAGCCAUGGGCAGGUUGAAGGUUGGGUAACACUAACUGGAGGACCGAACCGACUAAUGUUGAAAAAUUAGCGGAUGACUUGUGGCUGGGGGUGAAAGGCCAAUCAAACCGGGAGAUAGCUGGUUCUCCCCGAAAGCUAUUUAGGUAGCGCCUCGUGAAUUCAUCUCCGGGGGUAGAGCACUGUUUCGGCAAGGGGGUCAUCCCGACUUACCAACCCGAUGCAAACUGCGAAUACCGGAGAAUGUUAUCACGGGAGACACACGGCGGGUGCUAACGUCCGUCGUGAAGAGGGAAACAACCCAGACCGCCAGCUAAGGUCCCAAAGUCAUGGUUAAGUGGGAAACGAUGUGGGAAGGCCCAGACAGCCAGGAUGUUGGCUUAGAAGCAGCCAUCAUUUAAAGAAAGCGUAAUAGCUCACUGGUCGAGUCGGCCUGCGCGGAAGAUGUAACGGGGCUAAACCAUGCACCGAAGCUGCGGCAGCGACGCUUAUGCGUUGUUGGGUAGGGGAGCGUUCUGUAAGCCUGUGAAGGUGUGCUGUGAGGCAUGCUGGAGGUAUCAGAAGUGCGAAUGCUGACAUAAGUAACGAUAAAGCGGGUGAAAAGCCCGCUCGCCGGAAGACCAAGGGUUCCUGUCCAACGUUAAUCGGGGCAGGGUGAGUCGACCCCUAAGGCGAGGCCGAAAGGCGUAGUCGAUGGGAAACAGGUUAAUAUUCCUGUACUUGGUGUUACUGCGAAGGGGGGACGGAGAAGGCUAUGUUGGCCGGGCGACGGUUGUCCCGGUUUAAGCGUGUAGGCUGGUUUUCCAGGCAAAUCCGGAAAAUCAAGGCUGAGGCGUGAUGACGAGGCACUACGGUGCUGAAGCAACAAAUGCCCUGCUUCCAGGAAAAGCCUCUAAGCAUCAGGUAACAUCAAAUCGUACCCCAAACCGACACAGGUGGUCAGGUAGAGAAUACCAAGGCGCUUGAGAGAACUCGGGUGAAGGAACUAGGCAAAAUGGUGCCGUAACUUCGGGAGAAGGCACGCUGAUAUGUAGGUGAAGCGACUUGCUCGUGGAGCUGAAAUCAGUCGAAGAUACCAGCUGGCUGCAACUGUUUAUUAAAAACACAGCACUGUGCAAACACGAAAGUGGACGUAUACGGUGUGACGCCUGCCCGGUGCCGGAAGGUUAAUUGAUGGGGUCAGCGCAAGCGAAGCUCUUGAUCGAAGCCCCGGUAAACGGCGGCCGUAACUAUAACGGUCCUAAGGUAGCGAAAUUCCUUGUCGGGUAAGUUCCGACCUGCACGAAUGGCGUAAUGAUGGCCAGGCUGUCUCCACCCGAGACUCAGUGAAAUUGAACUCGCUGUGAAGAUGCAGUGUACCCGCGGCAAGACGGAAAGACCCCGUGAACCUUUACUAUAGCUUGACACUGAACAUUGAGCCUUGAUGUGUAGGAUAGGUGGGAGGCUUUGAAGUGUGGACGCCAGUCUGCAUGGAGCCGACCUUGAAAUACCACCCUUUAAUGUUUGAUGUUCUAACGUUGACCCGUAAUCCGGGUUGCGGACAGUGUCUGGUGGGUAGUUUGACUGGGGCGGUCUCCUCCUAAAGAGUAACGGAGGAGCACGAAGGUUGGCUAAUCCUGGUCGGACAUCAGGAGGUUAGUGCAAUGGCAUAAGCCAGCUUGACUGCGAGCGUGACGGCGCGAGCAGGUGCGAAAGCAGGUCAUAGUGAUCCGGUGGUUCUGAAUGGAAGGGCCAUCGCUCAACGGAUAAAAGGUACUCCGGGGAUAACAGGCUGAUACCGCCCAAGAGUUCAUAUCGACGGCGGUGUUUGGCACCUCGAUGUCGGCUCAUCACAUCCUGGGGCUGAAGUAGGUCCCAAGGGUAUGGCUGUUCGCCAUUUAAAGUGGUACGCGAGCUGGGUUUAGAACGUCGUGAGACAGUUCGGUCCCUAUCUGCCGUGGGCGCUGGAGAACUGAGGGGGGCUGCUCCUAGUACGAGAGGACCGGAGUGGACGCAUCACUGGUGUUCGGGUUGUCAUGCCAAUGGCACUGCCCGGUAGCUAAAUGCGGAAGAGAUAAGUGCUGAAAGCAUCUAAGCACGAAACUUGCCCCGAGAUGAGUUCUCCCUGACCCUUUAAGGGUCCUGAAGGAACGUUGAAGACGACGACGUUGAUAGGCCGGGUGUGUAAGCGCAGCGAUGCGUUGAGCUAACCGGUACUAAUGAACCGUGAGGCUUAACCUU